rnacentral:rRNA from 1 species
AUUGAACGCUGGCGGCAGGCCUAACACAUGCAAGUCGAGCGGAUGAAGGGAGCUUGCUCCUGGAUUCAGCGGCGGACGGGUGAGUAAUGCCUAGGAAUCUGCCUUGUCGUGGGGGAUAACGUCCGGAAACGGGCGCUAAUACCGCAUACGUCCUGAGGGUGAACGUGGGGGAUCUUCGGACCUCACGCUAUCAGAUGAGCCUAGGUCGGAUUAGCUAGUUGGUGGGGUAAAGGCCUACCAAGGCGACGAUCCGUAACUGGUCUGAGAGGAUGAUCAGUCACACUGGAACUGAGACACGGUCCAGACUCCUACGGGAGGCAGCAGUGGGGAAUAUUGGACAAUGGGCGAAAGCCUGAUCCAGCCAUGCCGCGUGUGUGAAGAAGGUCUUCGGAUUGUAAAGCACUUUAAGUUGGGAGGAAGGGCAGUAAGUUAAUACCUUGCUGUUUUGACGGUACCAACAGAAUAAGCACCGGCUAACUUCGUG